CAGUAAGAUGGAGAGGACGGCGAGUGGCCAAAUGAGGUAGCUGAGCCAUUGAAGCCAGCUUGGAAUGUGGCUCAUGAUCUGAGGAAUCCAAUCAUUCAAUUGGGUGAAAAGCCACCAAAAAGCGCCGCCCAUCAGCACGAUAUUCAUGAGUAAAGGAAGAAUAACGAAACGCCGGAUGCCCGGCAGAGAGAUCAAGCGCCAUCCGGCAAAAAAAUAGUGUACGCCGCUGCGAGUGUGGUCUGCGGUGUUGCUGUGAGACGGUUUUUCGAAAGACGGUGGUUUUUCUGGAAACGAUGAUUUUUCUGAAGACAUGGUGCCGAUAUACUCAGUCAUUUGUUUGUUAAGGCAUCAUAUCGGGAUGAUCUUAUGCUGACUAGCCCAUAUUUGGAUGAAAAAGCAGCAAAAAAGUGCGUUGUACCUAUCUUUAUUGUCAUUAAAGUACCGUGCAGGCUUGCACUUGUGUACUCAGGCAAAUAGAGU
rfam:Erwinia carotovora subsp. atroseptica SCRI1043, complete genome